CAUUUCUGGGUUUGAACCUCCUCAGUCCCCAGAUUCCAGCUACAGUAACUUGCAACUUGGAGCAGAGGACUAUGCCAAGGAGCCACCUUUAGUUCCGCCUCAUCUACAGAUGACUUUACUCAACGUACCGUCAUCUCACAUGGAAAUUCCACCUCCUCUCUCGAGACCUCCACAUGUGGUACUUAACCAUCUUUACAUGCAGAAGGGCAAGAGUACGCCCCGCCUCAUUUACAGAUGACUUUACUCAACGUACCGUCAACUCACAUGGAAAUUCCACCUCCUCUCUCGAGACCUCAACAUGUGGUACUUAACCACCUCUACAUGCAGAAAGGCAGGACUACGCCGUCUGUGGUAGCACUUGGUUCAACUAAUCGAUUCCUGUCCAAAUAUGUGACAGUGGUACUUUACAAGUCCAUACAGAGGUGAAAUUUCCAUAACACCCGUCUGGAUGACAAGUCUUUUAAUAACUUAAAUCUGGUGAGAAAUUAUUAGAAGUCAGGCCUAGCUCAUGGCCACUCAAGAAACAAGGGAAAAGAAAGACGCGGCAGCAAGUCUUUUAAUAACUUAAAUAUGGUGACAAAUUAUUAGAAGUCAGGCCUAGCUCAUGGCCACUCAAGAAACAAGGGAAAAGAAAGACGCGGUAGAGGAAAUGUUGUGAACAUCAAAUUCUCUACCAUGGUUCGGUCAAUUUACCUAUAAGCACUUAGUCCUUAUUUGCCCUUUUUUUCAGUUCCAACAUCCAAUGAGUAGACCCCUUUUGGCUUUGCACUUUGCAGUCAUACAAUAGGUGUCGGUUUAAUUCUCACUAUCCCUUUUCCCUUCUCGAUCCUCCAAUGUAAUAAAAACAUUUAUUUUUCUUUAAAAAAAAAUGUGCUUCAUUUCCUCGGUGAAACGUAUUUUCUUGUACUUCUGAGAACAAUUUUCAAAGGUGUGUGAGAAACUAGAGUUCGUUUUCGUUCAAUUUAAUUGAACGCAAUUGUCAUGC
rnacentral:lncRNA from 1 species